UACGUAGGGUGCAAGCGUUAAUCGGAAUUACUGGGCGUAAAGCGUGCGCAGGCGGUUUUGUAAGUCAGAUGUGAAAUCCCCGGGCUCAACCUGGGAACUGCAUUUGAAACUGCAAGGCUAGAGUAUGGCAGAGGGGAGUAGAAUUCCACGUGUAGCGGUGAAAUGCGUAGAGAUGUGGAGGAAUACCGAUGGCGAAGGCAGCCCCCUGGAAUAAUACUGACGCUCAGGCACGAAAGCGUGGGGAGCAAACAGG
rnacentral:rRNA from 1 species